AUUGAACGCUGGCGGCAUGCUUUACACAUGCAAGUCGAACGGUAACAGGUUAAGCUGACGAGUGGCGAACGGGCGAGUAAUGCAUCGGAACGUGCCCGAUCGUGUGGGAUAACGCAGCGAAUGCUGUGCUAAUACCGCAUACGAUCUGAGGAUGUAAGUGGGGGACCGUAAGGCCUCGUGCGAUCGGAGCUGCCGAUGUCCGAUUAGGUAGUUGGUGGGGUAAAGGCUCACCAAGCCGACGAUCUGUAGCUGGUCUGAGAGGACGAUCAGCCACACUGGGACUGAGACACGGCCCAGACUCCUACGGGAGGCAGCAGUGGGGAAUUUUGGACAAUGGGCGCAAGCCUGAUCCAGCAAUGCCGCGUGCAGGAAGAAGGCCUUCGGGUUGUAAACUGCUUUUGUACGGAGCGAAAAAGCUCUCUCUAAUACAGGGGGCUCAUGACGGUACCGUAAGAAUAAGCACCGGCUAACUACGUG
rnacentral:rRNA from 1 species